CCGGCACGGGUGAGUAACGCGUAUGCAACUUGCCUAUCAGAGGGGGAUAACCCGGCGAAAGUCGGACUAAUACCGCAUGAAGCAGGGAUCCCGCAUGGGAAUAUUUGCUAAAGAUUCAUCGCUGAUAGAUAGGCAUGCGUUCCAUUAGGCAGUUGGCGGGGUAACGGCCCACCAAACCGACGAUGGAUAGGGGUUCUGAGAGGAAGGUCCCCCACAUUGGUACUGAGACACGGACCAA
rnacentral:rRNA from 1 species